GCCAUGAAUCUAAAAUUCACAGCAGCGUAUUAUGAAAAGCGCAUAUCAGCCAGCCAAAUUUCUAUUUUGAUCUAUUCAAACCAUCAACAAGGUGACUCCUCAUCAAAAUUGCCAGCUCCAAAAAUUAAUUGCUUUGCCUUUAGUUGGAAAAAAAAUGAUAGCAAGUAAAACCCACACGCUAAAUAAAAUAGUUAAAUCUUUAAUAAUAAAAAUUAAAUGAAUCUUUGUAAUAUUUUUCCUAGAAUGAUGACAAUAAUCUCGUAAAUGAAGGAAAGAUGUGAUGUAUAACAAGGGAGAAACCAAGAUCAAGAGAAAUUAAUUCUCGAGAACAAAGAGAAAUAAAUUCUUCAGAGAACCAAUUCUCAGAACCCUUAUUUAAUUGUCAAUAAUAUCAU
rnacentral:misc_RNA from 1 species